GGGGGAAUAUUGGACAAUGGGCGCAAGCCUGAUCCAGCAAUGCCGCGUGGGUGAAGAAGGUUUUCGGAUUGUAAAGCCCUUUCGGCGGGGACGAUGAUGACGGUACCCGCAGAAGAAGCCCCGGCUAACUUCGUGCCAGCAGCCGCGGUAAUACGAAGGGGGCUAGCGUUGCUCGGAAUGACUGGGCGUAAAGGGCGCGUAGGCGGUUUGCAUAGUCAGGCGUGAAAUUCCUGGGGGCUUAACCUGGGGGCUGCGUUUGAUACGUGCGGACUUGAGUGGGGGAAGAGGGUCGUGGAAUUCCCAGUGUAGAGGUGAAAUUCGUAGAUAUUGGGAAGAACACCGGUGGCGAAGGCGGCGACCUGGUCCUUGACUGACGCUGAGGCGCGAAAGCGUGGGGAGCAAACAGGAUUAGAUACCCUGGUAGUCCACGCUGUAAACGAUGUGCGCUGGAUGUUGGGUGACCUAGUCACUCAGUGUCGUAGCUAACGCGGUAAGCGCACCGCCUGGGGAGUACGGCCGCAAGGUUGAAACUC
rnacentral:rRNA from 1 species